GUCUAGCUGGGGAAGCUGCUUAGGGCCAUUUAUUUGCAAAUACAUAUGAAAGAAGUGGAGACCCUGCUUCAUCUCACUCCCAGGAAAAUGAAAUAAAUGACAACAGCUAAAUGUUUGAUGACUGUCAAGAAAAUGAAGAUGGAGCCAGGCACCUGAUGUGGCAUCCUCCUGCCUGUCCUGAUCUUCUGGAAGCCUAUCCUUGGCCUCCAACUCCUGUCAACUGACCUCUUCUGAACCCAUUCCUGGGGCUUAGACCCAGGCCCCAGGAUCUCUACUCAUUGUCUCCCAUCUUCUCUGUUUUGUUCACGCCCGACCUCUACCAAAGAAGAAAAUCCAAGCUCUGAGAGUUAUGGUCAGCUGGCAAGUGGAAUACACAAUCCUCAGUCUGUCUGGCUUCAAAUCUUUGCAUUUCUUGUCCCUUCUACUGAGGAUGCUCUUUUCCUGGGUGUGCACCUGACCUCCGAGGUGGAGGGCCUAGAGCUCUGGAGCACCCCGCUGAAGCAGUCCCAGUCUAUCAAGUUAUCUUCCCCUUCUCCCAGUACAGGAGAUCAUCUUACUUACCUAAGGGUUUGUCUGCCCUCACUGGGAUCAAAUCUCUGUUCGGAUGAGGACUCUGUCUCAUUCGUUGCUCCAUCCCUGGCAUCUAGACGGUGCUGGAUAUAUAAUCAGGGUUUGAUAAAUACCCGCAGACUCACCUCUUUCCACUCCAUGCAAUUUCUUUCCUUCCUGGCGCAAGUUUGUGUCUCCUGGGCAGCAAGUCCACAUCUAGGGUUGUGGAGGGAAUGCCUCUGCUACUCAGACACGGAGGGAAAUUGCUGUGAUUUUCACAUCCUCCAAAGAUGAGAAUUACAACCUUGCUCAGGAGCUGGCUUCAUCGUCCAACCACCCUGCCGGGAAAUUCUUCUACAGAUCUGACCUAAAUUUGUCCAGCUGUGGCAGAAACAGACUUGAUCCUGGGUGGUCCUCAGAGGGGGCAGCUGGUGAAAGAGCUCUUUGUGUCAAAUGACACAGCAUCCCACGCUGACCUCUCCGUGAGAGGGAAGACAGGGCUUGGCGCACGGCUGCGGCCUCGCUGACCCCGCCGGUUCCAGGGAGGCAGCCAGAGUGCAGUGGACAAAGCUCCAGAGAGAAUCGGGAAGGUCUGGCCUUACGUCCAUCUCUACCUGCCUGCUGGGUGGCCUGAGCUAGGUCAGCUAAGUGCAGGAGCCCCAUUUCAUCACCAGCAGUGUGCCUAAUGAUGUCUGUGUUACAGGUAUGCGACGUGAUGGCGGGGCUCCGUGGUCUGUGUCUUUCUUCAUUUAUUAUUUUGUUUAAAUGUUACUAACUUACAAGGAUUAUGAGCCCAGAAGAGAAAAAUGAUCAGCCCAAGCUCAAACUCAUGGUGGAGUUCAGAACAUCUCUUUCUUCAAAGUCACAGUGUUGCCUUUAUGAUUCUUUCUUAUCCCUCACACAGGUUUAAAGCUCCCUCUCGUUGUCAAAACUGGACAAAGGGUUUUGUUAAACAAAGAGAGAGCCCCAAAGUAAAAUCAUUUUUGAAUCAUGGGAUAUGUUCCCAAGAAGGGACUUUAGGCCUCAGGCGACCUGACUGAUACAAGCCAGGCUUAUGACCUCUCCCAACGGCCCCACCUUCCACCAGCUGAACUUGCCUAAAGCCCUGUGGUCCCCUGCACCCCACGGAGACUGACAGGUGGGAACUGGUGAUGCGCAGACGCCCACGUGGCCAAGGCUUCAGACCUGAGCCAUCUUGGCAUUGGUCAUGGGUAUAUGCAAUCAUGUCCGACAUCUUCCUGCAAAGCCAACCCAGCUGUGACUGGUAUUGUCACUGUUUCCACCUAAAAUGAGCACUUAAAAAAUAAAUCACUGACAGGUAUCA
ensembl:lncRNA